AACUCCCCCGACUUGACACAACAUCCUGCCGCGAUGUUGUGCGACCUGCCGUGUCAGUCGGAGAAGUC
rfam:Marssonina brunnea f. sp. &apos;multigermtubi&apos; MB_m1 unplaced genomic scaffold M6_S00011, whole genome shotgun sequence.